AUAAAAAUUACAAUUUCCUCAAUUGCAAUUGGUUUAAAAAACUACUAUUUUGCACUAAUUCGCUUGCCAAAUUGUUAUCGGACAAUUUAUUAUCAGACAGCUUUUGUUAUCGGACAGUUUGUUAUCGGACAGUUCAA